AUGGGUCCUGCCCUGCUCUUCUUCCUCGUGCUUGCGGCUGCAGCACCCUUGCACUUGGCUGCGCAGGCCUUGAAUUAUUCCAUGGCCAAACCCUCGACGGUUUGGAUCAACAACUUUUUUCUCCGCGACAGCAUCAGCGGCCACCGCACCAUCGUCACCCGUUCUCUAGGACCAGAAACUCAAGCUAGCCCUGACUCCGAACUUGAUGUUGCCGCAGGGUUCACAUGUGUCCCCCGUCAGUCACCAUGCAACGAUUUCCUCUUUGCGGUGUUCAUUCACAUCAACGUUGGGUUCAACCCUAAUAAUGCCAUAACUCAGCAGCCGCAGGUAAUCUGGUCUGCCAACCGGGCUCACCCUGUCACAGAGAAUGCAACCCUUGAGUUUACAUCGGAUGGGAACUUGGUCCUCCGUGAUGAUGAUGGUAGCCAUGUCUGGUCCAGCAGCAGCUCAGGCCAGUCUGUCGCUGGAAUGUUGAUCACCGAUAUAGGCAAUUUGGUGUUGUUCGAUCAGAGAAAUGCAACAGCGUGGCAGUCGUUUGAUCAUCCUACUGACACAUUGGUCCCCGGGCAGUCACUUGUGGAAGGUACGAGGCUCACAGCAAGUACUUCUGCAAUAAAUAAUCCAAAUCAGUUUUAUAUCACUGUACUCCCAGAUGGAUUACAUGCGUAUGCUGAAUCCACACCACCACAACUAUACUACCGCUUAUCCUGGGUGUCCGUCCACAAGAAAGGAAAUGAUCCAAUAACUGUUACAUUCGUGAAUGAAAGCCUCAUGACCGUCUCUGUGCAGUCAGAUAUAUAUCAUCAGAUCUCACUGCCGCAAGCAAAAUCUACCCGGUACAUGAGAUUAGAUUCAGACGGACACUUGAGGCGGUAUGAACGGUCUGGUCUAUCAUGGACCGUGGAGUAUGAUUUAAUGCAAGUAGAUUAUUGUGCUUACCCAACAGUCUGUGGACGGUACGGCAUAUGCAUGGGCGUACAGUGCACUUAUCCACUUGAGAACAAUUCAAAUUCACGGUACUUCAAGCCAGUGGAGGAACGGAAGCCAAAUCUUGGUUCCACCCCAAUAACUCCAAUCUCUUGUCAAGAAAUUCAAUACCAUCAACUCUUUACACUUACUAAUAUUUCUUACUUUGUCAAAAAUCCCAUGGUUGUGAAUGCAACAAGCAUCGAUGACUGUAAGCAAGCAUGCCUGAAGAAUUGCUCCUGCAAGGCUGUUAUAUUUAGGCACCGGAACAAUUCCCUUGGAAAAUGUGACUGGUUGACGGAGGUCUUCUCUUUGCAAUCAAUACAGCCUAAAGCAUUUGGUUACAACUCCUCUGCUUACCUCAAGGUGCAGCUUAGCCCCACCAUUUCUGCAUCUACUUCAAACAAAAAAAAGGUGUUGUUAGUUGCUACAUUUGGAGCUAUUGCUACUCUUGUAUUGUUUAUCAUUGCGGUCACUCUUUAUCGACAAAGGAGGAGGAAGUAUGAAGACAAAGACGAGGAAUUUUAUUUCGACCAAUUUCCUGGAAUGCCAACAAGGUUUUCUCUUGAGAAGUUGACUGAAUGCACUGGAGGAUUCGAUAAGAAACUCGGAGAAGGCGGGUUUGGGUCAGUUUUUGAAGGUAAAUUAGAUGAAGAAAGAAUUGCAGUAAAACGUUUGGAAGGUGCUAGACAGGGAAAGAAAGAGUUCUUGGCAGAGGUCGAGACCAUUGGAAGCAUUGAACACAUCAAUCUUGUCAAACUGAUUGGGUUUUGUGCAGAGAAGUCGGAAAGGCUUCUAGUAUACGAAUAUAUGUCAAGUGGGUCGCUUGAUAGGUGGAUCUAUUACCGUCAUAACAACAACCCUCUUGAUUGGUGCACUCGUUGUAGGAUCAUAUUGGAUAUUGCCAAGGGCCUUUGUUAUCUUCAUGAGGAGUGCAGGAGAAAAAUUGCUCAUUUGGACAUCAAACCACAAAAUAUUCUCUUGGAUGAGAAUUUCAAUGCCAAAGUAGGUGAUUUUGGACUAUGUAAGUUAAUAAGUAGGGAUCAAAGCAAGGUAGUGACUAUGAUGAGAGGAACACCCGGAUAUUUUGCACCUGAAUGGUUGACGUCACGGAUCACUGAAAAAGUGGAUGUCUACAGCUUUGGAGUUGUCGUGAUGGAAAUAUUAAGUGGGAGAAAAAAUAUUGACCAUUCUCAGUCUGAGGAGGAAGUUCAGCUCAUAAAUAUAUUACGAGAAAAGGAACAAAACAAUCGAUUGAUUGAUCUGAUCGACAAACAUAGUGACGAUAUGGUGUCACGCCAUGAGGAAGUGAUUCAAAUGAUGAAGCUCGCAAUAUGGUGCCUGCAAAAUGACAGCAGUCGAAGGCCUUCAAUGUCAACAGUGAUCAAGGUAUUGGAAGGUGCAGUGAGCGUAGAAACUUUUGAUGCAAAUUCAAUCAUGUUUGUUCAAGAUAAUCCAUCCACAUAUUCAGGUCCAUCUCAAGCAUCCAUAUUAUCAGCCCCAAGGUGA
rnacentral:rRNA from 1 species